CUUCUACAGAUUUUCUUCUGACUUCCACAAGUGUCCUAGCACGCGCACAACCCAACAAAACGAACAAAUAAAAAGAUCGGCAGAGCCGUCCUCUACAAUCUCCACAUAGGACCUGUUCUCUUCUUCGCUCAGAUGCCACCGGCAAUCCUUAUCACCAUGGGCGGGGGACACGCGGUGCUGCUCCGUUUCCAGGUCAGCAGGGAGGCUGUCCAUGCCCACUUCUGUGAGGCACUCGUUACACAGUCUGUAGCGCCUGGUUCCUUCCUGCACCACUUGCCCUGUGAGGUCAGUCACGUGGCGUUUGCAUUUCCUGCAGAUGAGCUUGCAUGCCUGGUGAAUCUGUGCAGGGAUUCAAAGAGUGAUAAAAAUAAACGUUCAAAACUGG